GUUCACCAAUCUACUAGGCUUUGAAUUUCAUGGUUAAUGUUUUGUUUUUAAGUGCAUACAAGCGUGAUUCCGCCUUUUAAUUGUUAAUUGCAUGCUAUAGAUGUUGCUUAAAUGAACAUGUUUUUCACAAAAUUUCCUUCAGGAAGCAUACCCAUCUAGAAACUUUACAAAAGAAAAAAAGUUGAAAAACUCUUUUUUCCCAUUCGGUUGAAUUGUAAAAAGCAGAUGACCUUUCUUUAGUUUACUACCGACUCUCUUCAUCCACAAGGAUGACCUAAUGCCCAUUUGUUCCAAAUCGAGGCAAGCUUUGAUUGUGUCCCUCGCUUUUCCUUCAAUGUUUAGAAUUGGCCUGACCAAAGUAUUAAACAUUUUUCUUAAUAUGCAAUACAUCAAGUUUGUGUCUCGUUUUUAACUUUGACCAGUACGGAAGCUCAAAUAGCAUACUUUUGUGCGUCCAGUUUCAAAUGUGUAGUUGGUUUGGUCAUAUUGACCCCUUUGCCAAAAUGACCAAAUUCCAAACGGUUUAAUUGUUCUAAAAUCUCAUCUUUGGACCAUUCUCUUGGUCUUGGAUGAGUCUUUGUUGUGCCAUGGAAAGCUUUAUCAUUCUAAUGCCACACGUUGUCCUAAGGGAGCCAUCUACGAUGACCAAGAUAACAAACUUUUCUCACAUGCCAAGAUGAUGUUAUGUUCUCCUUGCAUAUUGGACAUGCCAAAUAACCCUUCGUCAUCCACCCGAAAACCAUUGCAUACGUGGGAAAAUCGAUUACAAUCCACAUCACUGCUGCUCACAUGGUGAACUCCUGCCCAGUAUACUUAUUGUAUGUACAAACCCCGUUUUCCCAUAAAUCUUUUAGCUCAUCAACCUACGGCCGCAAAUGAACAUUAAUGAACUUUUCUAGAUCUUCGGUAAUUAAUAGAGUCAACAUCGUGUAUUCAUUUUUCAUGCACUUCCAAGGCAGCAAAUUAUAAAGAACCACGACGACUGGCCAAGUGUUAUGGGUUUGGUUUAGAACCCUGAAUAGUUUAAAUCUGUUACUAGCAAGUCCCAAUCCGACGUUGGGCGGGUCAACUGCAAAAUCAACUUACAUCUGGUCAAAUUCAUUCCAUGCCUUUCCGUCUGCAUGAUGCCUUAUGACAUUGUCAUUUACUCAUCCUUAUGUCAUCUCAUGUUGCUUGCAAUAUGCAUCGACAUGUACAAUCGCUGCAACCUAGGCUUUAAUGAAAGAUAAUGCAUUACUUUUUGUGGAAGGUCAUUCUAUUCUAUGAUGUCAUUUUAAACCUCAGCUCAUUACAUACAAGGCAUUUAUCCAAUUGUUUAUUCUACUUCUAGAACAAUAUACAAUUAUUUACACAGGCUUGAAUUUUUUUCAUACCCCAAUCCAAGACCAUUCAACACUUUUUGGGCACUUUUAUGAUCUUG
rnacentral:lncRNA from 1 species